rnacentral:rRNA from 1 species
UACAGAGGUGGCAAGCGUUGUUCGGAAUUACUGGGCGUAAAGGGCGCGUAGGCGGCUCUUCAAGUCGGGGGUGAAAGCCUGCAGCUCAACUGCGGAACUGCCUUCGAUACUGUCGAGCUUGAGUGCAGGAGGGGUGAUCGGAACUCCAGGUGUAGCGGUGAAAUGCGUAGAUAUCUGGAGGAACACCGGAGGCGAAGGCGGAUCACUGGACUGCCACUGACGCUGAGGCGCGAAAGCUAGGGGAGCAAACAGG